AACGAACGCUGGCGGCAGGCUUAACACAUGCAAGUCGAGCGAGACCUUCGGGUCUAGCGGCGGACGGGUGAGUAACGCGUGGGAACGUGCCCUUCUCUACGGAAUAGCCCCGGGAAACUGGGAGUAAUACCGUAUACGCCCUUUGGGGGAAAGAUUUAUCGGAGAAGGAUCGGCCCGCGUUGGAUUAGGUAGUUGGUGGGGUAAUGGCCCACCAAGCCGACGAUCCAUAGCUGGUUUGAGAGGAUGAUCAGCCACACUGGGACUGAGACACGGCCCAGACUCCUACGGGAGGCAGCAGUGGGGAAUCGUAGACAAUGGGGGCAACCCUGAUCGAGCCAUGCCGCGUGAGUGAUGAAGGCCUUAGGGUUGUAAAGCUCUUUCAGCUGGGAAGAUAAUGACGGUACCAGCAGAAGAAGCCCCGGCUAACUCCGUG
rnacentral:rRNA from 1 species